ensembl:snRNA U6 U6 spliceosomal RNA
CUAGGCCUAGCCAACCCUAGAUCAUGCACACAUGAUACAGAGAAGAUCAGCAUGUCCUGUGUGCAAGACUGCACACAAAUUUGUGAAGCAUUCCGUAUUUUU